UGCUACAUUGGAUACCAAUCUCCAAAAAUUGGAAAAGUACAGAGAUUAGCAUGAUCCCUGAGCAAGGAUGAAAUGAAAGUUCACAAAGUGUGGUGUGUUCUG